CGGGACGCUCCGCCCCGCCCCUCCGGGCAGCGAGGUUCCGCCUCACCUUUCAAAGGCCCUAUGCUGGUCCGGCUUCUCUCCACCACCCACCCACUGACGGCAGGGCCCCGCCUGCAGGCCGUUCAGCUAUUUGUCUGCUGUUGCGCGCACCGUGACCCACGCGGAAGUGGAGAGCGGCGAGUGGAGGUCCCAGCGCAGCUGGGCGGAAGGCGGGAUCAGGAGAAGCAGAGACAGCGACUCCUAGAGAAAUGGAAAAUUGAGAAAAGCAUGGACAAGCGAUGGCAGUGA
ensembl:lncRNA